UACGAAGGGGGCUAGCGUUGCUCGGAAUCACUGGGCGUAAAGGGUGCGUAGGCGGGUUUUUAAGUCAGGGGUGAAAUCCUGGAGCUCAACUCCAGAACUGCCUUUGACACUGAAGAUCUUGAGUCCGGGAGAGGUGAGUGGAACUGCGAGUGUAGAGGUGAAAUUCGUAGAUAUUGGGAAGAACACCAGUGGCGAAGGCGGCUAUCUGGACCGUAACUGACGCUGAGGCGCGAAAGCGUGGGGAGCAAACAGG
rnacentral:rRNA from 1 species